GUCUACGGCCAUACCACUGAGAAAGCACCGGUUCUCGUCCGAUCACCGAAGUUAAGCUCAGUAGGGCGCGGUUAGUACUUGGAUGGGUGA
rnacentral:rRNA from 1 species